CCCAAACCACUGGCAUUACAUGUGUGUGCCGCUGUGCCCAGCAAUACUGCUGUUUUUAAAGUUAUCUCUUGGAACAUAAUUUUCACAUAAUAGAGUAAUAUAGAUUUAGAUGUAUUAAGAAAUUUACACUGAAGCUGGGUGCAGUGGUACACACCUGUAAUCCCAGCAGUUUGGG
rnacentral:miRNA from 1 species